UGUAGAUUGUAGAAGAAUGUACUUUUUGUAAUUGUAUAACGUUCAUAAGACUGUGUAAGGAAAUGGUAUAUGUGUUGUGUGAGUGAAAGUCCUGCAAUACCGCUGGAGGAAGGGCAAAAAGGUAGAAAAAAGAGAAGAGAAAUAGAGAAAUACUCCAGGGCUAGGAUAGAAAGCAGGUGGAAAAUGAGGCCUCAGACCCCAGAUACCGGCUACUACACUAGACUAGCAGACUAGUGGCGGCUGCAUUGGUGGGGACCCCUAAUACCGCUGGAAAAGGAUUAGAUAAAAGAUAGAUAGAUUAGAUUCCAGGGCUGGAUAGAGAGGGGAAUAAAUCCUGGGCCCAGGUCCGGGUCGUGCAAUACAGCAUGCCCGGUGUAUGAAUGGAAUAUGUACUAACGAAUGUGUGUGCUUAUAAUAUAUGUGCUUAUAAUAUGAGUGUGGUGUGAGAGCGUGUAAGUUUUGGAGACAGGGAAAAAGUAUUUAUUAGUGCUCUGAACAUGAGCUCCAUACCUAAAGUAUUGGAUAAGUUGGAUAAGAUUUAGAGAAAAGAAUUUUUUUUUGGAGAAAGUUGGAUUUAAUUUGUAUGACUGUAAGCUUCAUGCAUACGGAGCUGGUAUGGAGGUGCUUUAUACUUUGAAAACUUCAUGUAGUAACAUAAAUAAGUGUAAUAAUGUGGAAUACAAUGUGUGUAUGGGAGCUUGCCGGCGUUGUUGAUAGAAAGGAGGGGUGUAUGUGUGUGUUCCUGUCUGUUCUUAUCUGCGCGUCUGUGUGGAAAUAGGAAGGAAGGACAAAAAAAAAAAAAAAAAAGGAAAGACAAUUCGGUGUGUGUGUGCUCUUCAGAGUGAGCUUGGUAAUGCAGAGCAUUGUGAGAUAUCUUGCGGUCUUCGAAUGUUUUGAAUCUGGUACAUACUUUUGAUUGUGUGAUCCAGGGUAAAAGGAAGACUGAAGGUGGGGAAACAAGUGUGCAUUUUCAGGCCCCAGAAGCCACUGUUAAGAAAUGAGUGAGUCCGAC
ensembl:lncRNA